rnacentral:rRNA from 1 species
CCCUACGGGGGGCAGCAGUGGGGGAUAUUGCCCAAUGGGGGGAACCCUGAUGCAGCGACGCCGCGUGGGUGAAGAAGCGCCUCGGCGCGUAAAGCCCUGUCAGCAGGGAAGAAAAUGACGGUACCUGAAGAAGAAGCCCCGGCUAACUACGUGCCAGCAGCCGCGGUAAUACGUAGGGGGCAAGCGUUAUCCGGAUUUACUGGGUGUAAAGGGGGCGCAGACGGCGAUGCAAGCCAGGAGUGAAAGCCCGGGGCCCAACCCCGGGACUGCUCUUGGAACUGCGGGGCUGGAGUGCAGGAGGGGCG